GUAGGUGGCAAGCGUUGUCCGGGAAUUAUUGGGGCGUAAAGCGCGCGCAGGCGGUUCUUUAAGUCUGAUGUGAAAGCCCACGGGCUCAACCGUGGAGGGUCAUUGGAAACUGGAGAACUUGAGUACAGAAGAGGAAAGCGGAAUUCCACGUGUAGCGGUGAAAUGCGUAGAGAUGUGGAGGAACACCAGUGGCGAAGGCGGCUUUCUGGUCUGUAACUGACGCUGAGGCGCGAAAGCGUGGGGAGCAAACAGGAUUAGAUACCCUGGUAGUCCACGCCGUAAACGAUGAGUGCUAAGUGUUAGGGGGUUUCCGCCCCUUAGUGCUGCAGCUAACGCAUUAAGCACUCCGCCUGGUGAGUACGGCCGCAAGGCUG
rnacentral:rRNA from 1 species